AAAAUAAUCCUACCCUUUGUGAAUUUUGUUUGUUUGAAUAAUUUUUUUUUUUAAAAAAUUAUUGGAGUCUUUCCCUUUAGAGUUUGCUUUUGAGUUUGUAAAAGAUUCGAAAACAUCUAAAGGGGAUGGUCAAUAAUUUUUUUUGAAAAAAGACAUUUUUUAAAAUUAAACUUUUUGUAUUCAUUUGUCUAAAAAUUAUUUUUAUAAUAUAAAAACAACUUUUGACAAUGGAUCUCUUGGUUCUCGCAACGAUGAAGAACGCAGCAAAAUGCGAUAAGUAGUGUGAAUUGCAGAAUACGUGAAUCACCGAAUCUUUGAACGCAUAUUGCACUUUUUUAGUUUACUAAAAAAGUAUGUCUGUUUGAGUAUCAGUAAAAUAUUCUCAUAAAAAUCAUUGUGUAUUUUUAUGGUUAUGAGUGUUUUACAACGAUACAAGUUGUUUCACUUUAAAUUUUUUUUUAAUAUUGAAAUUUUUCUAAUUUUAAUAAUUAAAAUUGGAUAAAAUUUUCCCGUCAAAAGGAAUAACCUAAACAAUUUUAAAUGAUUAAUUUUAGCAAAAUUUUCGAAAAAAAGGAAAAUUUUUAUUAAAAUAACUUGAUCUCAAAUCAGAUAAGAGUACCCGCUGAACUUAAGCAUAUCAAUAAGCGGAGGAAAAGAAACUAACAAGGAUUCCCUUAGUAACGGCGAGUGAAGCGGGAAGAGCUCAAAUUUGAAAUCUUCAAGGUUUUACCUUGACGAAUUGUAGUUUAAAGAAGUGUUUUCUGCUGAAGUUUUGGUAAAGUUCUUUGGAAUAGGACAUCAUAGAGGGUGAGAAUCCCGUAUUUGACCAUUAUUUUCAGCUUUGUGAUACGCUUUCAAAGAGUCGGAUUGUUUGGGAAUGCAGUCCAAAAUGGGUGGUAAAUUUCAUCUAAAGCUAAAUAUUGGCGAGAGACCGAUAGCGAACAAGUACCGUGAGGGAAAGAUGAAAAGAACUUUGAAAAGAGAGUUAAACAGUACGUGAAAUUGUCAAAAGGGAAGCGUUUGACACCAGUGUUGUUUUCUCGAAAAUCAAUUAAAAAUGGCUCGAUUUGUAUUGCUGAGACCUUAAAAGCUCACUGUACAUUUUUCGUGUCUUUUUUAAUGCACUUUUCGUUUAACAAGUCAACAUCAGUUUCUUUUGUUGUAAAAGGGUCAUUGGAAGGUGGCUUUCUUUUCGGAGAAAGUGUUUAUAGCCUUUGGCCUCUGCAAUCGAGAGACUGAGGUCUGCAGCGUAGACUCUUCGGGGUUAGAUACAUUUGUGCUAAGUUAUAGCUUUUUAUAGACAACUUGUUGACUAUAAUUAGUCUUGUAGCUUACUCGCUUAUGCUAUUU
rnacentral:misc_RNA from 1 species